GAGCCGGGCGACAGCGGGGAGAGGGGGCUAUGCUCAGGUUGGGGUCGCGAUGGGCGCCCAACCCCAUUCUGGGGGCAGACCACCGAGACUCAAGGGGUCUAGUCCAAGUGCACCCCAAAGGUCAAGUGGAUGGCUGGCGAGGGGGGGCGUACGCGGCGCAGAGAGACUCCAACCUUGUAGAUCCCCCCGGUGGAGUCACGGAGAUGGGACCAGUGGAGGUUCAGAGUAGAAAAGGGGUCAAGGAGAAGAUAAAGAGCAGCCAGAGAAGUGGGGUGGAUCCCCGCGGUGGAGUCACGGAGAUGGGACCAGUGGAGGUUCAGAGUAGAAGAGAAAAGGGGUCAAGGAGAAGAUAGAGAGCAGCCAGAGAACUGGACGGAGUGGGUGCAGAAGCCAAGGGAAGGAAGGGAAUUUGGAAGGAGGGCCAAGAAUGGGGUCAGGUGUUGGCCAGAAUGCUGGUUAGACAGAAACUGGGACAGGUCCUGGGCACUGGUGGCCCCAACACUGAGAACCCUGGGGAGAUGGUUCUGGAGAUUCGAGUGAGGAGUUCUGUGCGUAGACAGUCUUUUCUACAAGUUCUAUUAAAGUGUGCAGAGAGUGUAGAUGCGGGAGAGAACUUUGGGAUAUGGGUGGAACGUGUGGUUAGAGUACAGGCUCUGGGUUCAGGAGUCCCCACACACUAUCUGUAAGACCUUGGGCAAGUCACUUAACCGGUUUGUGCCUCAGUCCCUGAUCUGUAAAAUGGGAUGAUGAAGACACUCCCUGCCUCAAAGGGGUCACGUGAAGAUUAGAUGGGUGUUUAAAAGUACUUAACAUGGCACUAAAAUGCUGUAGCUAUUAUUUUUCACUUUUGUUAUUGAACAGGGCAUACCUUGAUGCUGAUAGGAAGAUCUGGUAGAGAGGGAGGCAUUGAAGACAGAGGGGAGAGUACAGGGACCAGGGAGAAAGGGACCCAGAACUUGGAUGGGGAGACAGGUGUCAUUCUAUGCCAAAUGAAGGGAAAGAGGGAAUUGGUGGGGAUGCAGGGAAGUUUGCAGGCUUGGGGUAUGUGGUUAAGGGAGUGCCUUUCUGAUAGGCCUUCUCCGAAGUAGGCCUCAAGGUCAUCUGCUGAGAGGGCCAGGCCACAGCUGACCCAGAUGCCAAGACUGAGGUUCGGAGAAGUUAAAGACCAUGUCCCAGGACCCACAGCUAGUACAUGGAAGACCUGGGAUGCCAGCUCAGAUCUGUCAGACCUCAAGGCCUGGGAUUUGAAACCACUGUGAAUGCAAAAUCCAGCAGGAUGGGAAGAGGUAGAGGGAUCAUCUCCUGCAUUUGGUAGAUGAGAGAACAGGCUGGAUGCUCUGACCUCCAACCCCAGCUCUAAUGACUGGACACUCCUAAAGCGUUCUGUCACCAUCCAGGGGAUUUUUUGCACCACGAAGGGUAAUUCCUGCCCCAUCCCUGCUGUGACUCAGCUGUGACGUUGAACCACACAAGCCGACGAAAAGAUAAAGUCGUCAGACUCCUGCUCACCAGACAGAACUCACCUCUUCUCUCAGCACAGAUUCCACAGGGCUGGUCUCCUCCCCACAGUUGCUUAGACCGGGAGCCCCUGGCCAACCUGGGACCCCAGGAUGGCGUCUGGCCCAGCCAGCAGCCCCCACCCAGCCCCUGAUGAGAACGAGUUUCCCUUUGGGUGCCCCCCCACCGUCUGCCAGGACCCAACAGAGCCCAGGGCCCUCUGCUGUGCGGCCUGUCUCUCUGAGACCGUGAGGACCAGCGAGGACCGGCUCUGUCCAAAAUGCAGAGGGGACGACCCCCAGUCUGUAAGCCCGGGAAGCCUCUUGUCUCAGGAGAAGGUACGUGGCACCACCAGGAAAGGGUAUUUGACCACUUUUUUUCUCCUUCGGUCGAGGUUGAAGCCAUUAGGCAGCUGGCCACAAAGUCCCAGGCAGGAACCUGCCCCUUGUCUAGAAUCUGGACUGAAUUCAGUUUGUAAGCACUGAGGAGCCUGACAUUCACCGUGGCAAAGUGACUUGCCCAAAGACACCUCGCUGUUGUGUGACAGAUUCAGGGUGAGAACACCAGUCUAGACCGGGGGUCUGCAAGCUAUGGCCUGCAGGCCAAAACCAGCUUGCCACCUGGUUUUGUCUGGCCCACAAGCUAAGAAUGGUUUUGAUAUUUUAAAUGGUUUGAAAAAGUCAAAAGAAUGGCAUUUUGUGACACAUGAAAAUUUUUAUGAAAUUCAAAGUUCUGUGUCCGUAAAUGAAGUUUUAUUGGUACACAGCCACAACCCACUCGUUUUUGCAUGGUGUGUAACUACUUUUGCCCUACAACGGGGGAGGUGAGUAGUUGCAAUAGAGGAUUCAAAGUGCAAAAUAUUUGCUAUCUGGCCCUUUAUGGAGAAGUCUGUCACCUCUUGAUCUAGACAGUUCUUUCUGCCCUGGUGUGCCCUCAGACAGGGAGAAGUCCUUCUCAGCUUACCUCUCAAGCUCUGCCAUGCUAUGCUUCUAGGAAUAAGAAACAGCUUUGGAAGUGUGAGGGGCCAAAGAGACAUUUUCAGACACCACAGUUUAGAACUCUAGCCCUUCCAAGUUGGAAGAACCCUCACAGGUCCAUCUGUCCAGGGAAGAGGCUCCCACAAGCCAACCAGACCUGGUCCAUUCCCGCCAGCACAUGACAAAGUGAUAAAAGUAAGGAAAUCGUAGUGAGUUUUUUAUAAAACUAAAACCUUUCCAUUCAUAGAAUCAACCUUUGCUCUGGGGUUAUAUCCUCCCCAUACACGUCUUUGUACAAAUGAAAUGAUGGUGAUAGUCGAUGAUAGGAUUUUUGAUAACGUCUUUACUUGGCAAAAUAAAAAAAAAUGUCAAUCUUCA